UACAGAGGUGGCAAGGGUUGUUCGGAAUUACUGGGCGUAAAGGGCGCGUAGGCGGCUUGGUCAGUCCCGUGUGAAAUCCCUCGGCUCAACUGAGGAACUGCACGGGAAACUGCCUGGCUUGAGUUCGGGAGAGGGAAGCGGAAUUCCGGGUGUAGCGGUGAAAUGCGUAGAUAUCCGGAGGAACACCGGUGGCGAAGGCGGCUUCCUGGACCGACACUGACGCUGAGGCGCGAAAGCUAGGGGAGCAAACGGG
rnacentral:rRNA from 1 species